rnacentral:rRNA from 1 species
AUCGAACGCUGGCGGCAGGCCUAACACAUGCAAGUCGAACGAGUGGCGGACGGGUGAGUAAUGUCUGGGAACCUGCCCGUUGGAGGCGGAUAACUACUGGAAACGGUAGCUAAUACCGCAUACCAUCGGAUUUGCCCAGAUGGGAUUAGCUUGUAGGUGAGGUAACGGCCCACCUAGGCGACGAUCCCUAGCCGGACUGAGAGGAUGACCGGGCACACUGGGACGGAGACACGGUCCAGAAGCAUACGGGAGGCAGCAGUGGGGAAUAUUGCACAAUGGGCGAAAGCCUGAUAGAGCCAUGCCGCGUGUGUGAAGAAGGCCUUCGGGUUGUAAAGUACUUUCAGCGGGGAAGCGUUACCCGCAGAGGAAGCACCGGCUAACUCCGUGCCAGCAGCCGCGGUAAUAC